GAUGAUCGCUGGCGGCGUGCCUAAUACAUGCAAGUCGAGCGAACAGAUGAGGAGCUUGCUCCUCUGACGUUAGCGGCGGACGGGUGAGUAACACGUGGAUAACCUACCUAUAAGACUGGGAUAACUUCGGGAAACCGGAGCUAAUACCGGAUAAUAUAUUGAACCGCAUGGUUCAAUAGUGAAAGACGGUUUUGCUGUCACUUAUAGAUGGAUCCGCGCCGCAUUAGCUAGUUGGUAAGGUAACGGCUUACCAAGGCAACGAUGCGUAGCCGACCUGAGAGGGUGAUCGGCCACACUGGAACUGAGACACGGUCCAGACUCCUACGGGAGGCAGCAGUAGGGAAUCUUCCGCAAUGGGCGAAAGCCUGACGGGGCAACGCCGCGUGAGUGAUGAAGGUCUUCGGAUCGUAAAACUCUGUUAUUAGGGAAGAACAAAUGUGUAAGUAACUAUGCACGUCUUGACGGUACCUAAUCAGAAAGCCACGGCUAACUACGUG
rnacentral:rRNA from 1 species